ensembl:lncRNA
CAAGAAGGAGAGUGAGUCCUGCUGAGGGAGUAAAAUCACCAGCGGCACGAUCCAGCAAUUGGUUCUUGCAGCUGAUGAAUACUAAAGAGUCCUUGGCGAUCUUGCACACGGUUGUGCUAGAAAGCAUCAAAGUGGCCUCAAGAAGGAGAUAUUUGUGGAAGAAGCCAUUCACAAGUAAAGAGAAGUGCCAGGGAAAGGAGCUUUCAGACCGGCUGCUGUGGGAGAUUCUUCUUGAGCUGUCGAAAAUGGCAUCACUUUCUGAGCAAUUUACUUUCUCUACCUUCCAGUAUGCCACAAGCCAUUCUACUCAAUGAAGACACUACACAGGAACAAAACAAACCUUUCAGAUUCUGGAAAUCACAUCGUUAACUUCAAAAUUUAAGCAAAGGGUUAUCC